rnacentral:rRNA from 1 species
UACGAAGGGGGCUAGCGUUGCUCGGAAUCACUGGGCGUAAAGCGCACGUAGGCGGACUCUUAAGUCGGUGGUGAAAUCCUGGAGCUCAACUCCAGAACUGCCUUCGAUACUGAGAGUCUCGAGUCCGAGAGAGGUGAGUGGAACUGCGAGUGUAGAGGUGAAAUUCGUAGAUAUUCGGAAGAACACCAGUGGCGAAGGCGGCUCACUGGUCCGGUACUGACGCUGAGGUGCGAAAGCGUGGGGAGCAAACAGG